rnacentral:lncRNA from 1 species
UAAAAGGCGCCGAGGACAUGGGGGACCGAUUGCGCAAUAUUCCCUGUUUGAGUAAAACAAAAACUGUAUUGAAUGUGCCGCAGAAAUGGAGGGACCAAAGGUGAAAAAUACCCAUUAUGGCAAUAAUGUGCAGAUUUUCCUCCCUUAAACGACGCAGUUUAGAAUCUUGUAUAAAUAGAAAAAGAUAAAGCCCUAAAAAGCAUCAGCCUCCAUUUCCCUUUUUUUUAAAAAAAAAAAACUGAGGAUUUCAAAUCCUCUCAACUCCCAUUCCUCGGUCGUUCCGAUUCGCCGCCACGGCCGGUGGCCGGCGUCGCGCAAAGGGGGCUCCCGAUCCGCACGUUGAAGCACCUUUAAAGGUUCGAGCCUUGGAAAGGGGAAUCGAGGAGAACACAAGAUCUUUGGCCCCCUCUCAAGCCCGAAUCCGACGACGGCAAAGGACCAUCGCCGGCCGGUCUAAGGGCCGAUUCAGGUGCACUCCCUCUUCCUU